UGGGACGGAGAGCAGACGCGCAAGGAGUGGAGUCAGCUGCUGUUCGCGCACCCGGCCGACGUGAGCCUCUGGCGGAGGUACCUGGCAUUCCAGCAGCACGGGUCGGGGUUCGGGCUAACAGGCCUGCUCUCGGCGUUCGCGCGCUGCCUGGACCGCAUGCGCCAGUUCCAGGCAGGUCUGAUGAGGCCGCACCGUCCUCCCCCACGACUGGAACAGUUCAUGCUGGAGGUUCUCAGCCACCUGUGUCGGAUUCUGCGUCAGGCCGGCUUCAUGGAACGCGCCAUCUCCAUCUAUCAGGCGCUGUUGGAGCUGAACCUUUUCUCACCACCGCAAGAUGGCAGUGCGUUAUCGUCGACCC